UCUUCGCUCCAUCCUGUUCUUUGCUUUCCUCUCACUUGUUUAAUCAAUCAAUAAACCUCAUCAUAAAAAUUAGACUUAGCACAAGAUAUAUCUCCCCGCAACAAUCAUGGCUGAAUCCUUCGCAUUUAACCUUGCAGAAAUAGUCCUUUCGAAACUCGGUAAUAUUGCCAAUCAAGAAAUUCGCCAGGCUUGGGGUGUCCAGAGUAACCUUGAAGAGCUCAAGACGACUUUAACUACUAUCAAAGCUGUGCUUUUAGAUGCUGAAGAGAAACAGGCUCAUGACACUCAGCUGCGGAUUUGGCUACAACUGUUGAAGGAUGCCUGUUAUGAUGCUGAAGAUGUGUUAGACGAAUUUGAAGUCGAAGCAUUGCGGAAGCAAGUUCUGAAUCAGAGAGGCAUUGGAAAGAAGGUAAGCUAUUUCUUUUCUAGCUCAAACCCACUUGCUUUUCCAUUUAGGAUGGCCCGUAAGAUUAAAACUGUUACUGAGAGGUUUGGUAAGGUUGCUGCUUUGAAAAAUAAUUUUCAUCUCAUUGAGAGACAUGAUGGCCCUAGGCAUGCCCUGCGCCUGGACAGGGAGACUCACUCCUUUGUGCAGGCAUCAGAGAUCAUUGGCAGAGAUGAAGAGAAACAAAGAAUCAUAAAAAUGUUAAUGCAAGACUAUCCAGCUGAUGGGGAGGACAUAUCAGUCCUUCCCAUAGUCGGGAUUGGAGGUCUUGGGAAGACUGCCCUAGCCAAAUUGGUGUUCAAUGAUGAAAGUGUAGAUAGCCAUUUUGGAUUGAAACUCUGGGUGUGUGUUUCAGAUGAUUUUGAUCUCAAACGAUUAGUGGUAAGAGUCAUUAAAUCCGGAAAGGGGAGUGAUGGAGACCUUGGUAACAUGGAUUUGGAGCAAUUACAAAAGGUCUUACGAGACUGUUUGAAUGGUAAAAAGUAUUUACUUAUUCUAGAUGGUGUGGAAUGAGGAUUAUAGAAAAUGGCAAGAACUGAAACAAUUGUUAAUGGGAGGUACUGGCGGAAGCAAAAUUGUAGUCACCACUCGUAGUAACCAAGUUGCAAAGAUCACAGGCACAAUCCCCCCACACCGUUUGGAAGCUCUUCCUUAUGACAAAUCUUUCUCUUUGUUUCUCCAAUCUGCAUUCAAGAGAGGGGAAGAGAAACAACAUCCAAACCUUGUAAAAAUUGGGGAAGAAAUUGUUAAAAAAUCCAAAGGGGUUCCUUUGGUUGUGAAGGCAUUGGGGAGUUUACUAUUCACCAAAACCUCAGAACAUGAUUGGAAACUUGUGAAAGAUAGUGAGAUGUGGGAAUUAAUGGAAAAUGAAAAUGAAAUAUUUUCUAUUCUAAAACUAAGUUAUGAUCAAAUGCCUCCUUAUCUGAAGCAAUGUUUUGCCUAUUGUUCACUAUAUCCAAAGGAUUAUGAUUUUUCUGAAUUUGAGUUACUCCAAUUUUGGAUGGCUCAUGGUCUUCUUGAAUCCUCCAAUAAAACUGAAUAUUCAGAUGUUAUUGGUAGGCAGUAUUUGAACGGCCUGUUGUCACGAUCUCUUUUUCAAGAAUACGAUGACGGGCUUAUUUAUAAUACAUUUAAAAUGCAUGAUCUUUUACAUGAUCUUGCAUCAUCAGUAGCAAAGAAUGAGUGUUGUAUAGUAAAGUCUUUUGACCAAAAUAUUGGCCAAGGGAUUCGGCAUGUGUGCCUUGUUAACUCUGAAUCUCCUGGGGAAAAUGCUUCCAAGUUCUUUAAUAAAUUAGGACAGGUACGUACUCUUAGGUUUCCAGAUAUGGGAAAUGGUCCUAUAAACAAAUCCCUUAUUGAAACAUGUCUCAAGAGGUUGCAACAUUUGCGGGUGCUUGAUCUUAGUUGGUCUAAUCUCCAGGUAUUGCCCAAAAGGAUUGGGAAUUUGAAGCAUUUAAGGUAUCUCAACCUAACAGGCAAUUCCAACAUCAAGAAACUUCCCAACUCCAUUUGUAAGUUGCAAAAUUUGCAAUCUCUGUUUCUUGUUGGUUGUGACCAAAUCGAAGAGUUGCCUAAAGAUAUGAGUUAUAUGAUCAGUCUUAGAUUUUUAACAUUAACUACAAAACAAAGGGUUCUGCAUGGAUUCGAGCGCUUGAAAUCUCUUCAACAUUUAGUUAUUGUGGACUGUGGAAAUCUGGAAUAUUUGUUUGAAGGGGUUCAGAAACUCACAUCCCUUCAUACAUUGGUUAUUGGUGGUUGCAAAAACUUGGUGUCACUGCCACAUGGUUUGAAAUAUCUGACUUCAUUACAGUCUCUAAUAAUUGGGGAUUGUGAAAAGCUUGAUCUGAGUACGACGCAGGGAUUCAAAGAGACAGGAGAUAAUGAUAAUCAAGAUAACCUUGUUGAUAAUGGUCUCUGUCUUCAAAAAUUGGGGAUUGGAUAUUUACCAAAGCUGGAGGCUCUACCCCAAUGGCUUCUACGAGGAUCCACCAACACUUUAAAGUACCUGAGCAUCGAAGGAUGUGAGAACCUCACAACUUCACCAGAGUGGCACAGCGUCACAUCACUUGAAAACCUUGAGAUUAUCGCUUGCCCAAAAGUAUCAACUCUUCCACAAAAGAUGCAGUGCCUCAAACAAGUAAAGAUUCAAGAUUGUCAUGUUUUAAGUGAAAGAUGCAAACAAGAAAGCGGUGUGGAUUGGCCCAAGAUUGCUCAUGCCUCUCGUAUAUAUCUGGAUGGUACUAAAAUUUCGCUUAAGGAAUGAUCAGUCCCAUGAUUUGGGCGUGUCUCCAUUUAUUGGUAUUGGACUGGCUUCUCUUGGUGGCUGGACCAAGGUAUUGUUCAUGUAAUCCCAUAAAUGGAGUCAAGAUGUGUUUUUGGCUUGAUAUGUGUCCUAAUUGUUGGAUUGUAAUAUAGAAUCUUGCUAGUUGUGUUAUUGAUUGAUGGUUGUUUAUGGAUUGUAAUUUCUUUGUUUGCUGAUUGUUAAUUGGUUUGUUUUAUUGGGAUUGGAUUCAAGAUUUAGCCAGUUGGUUUCUUUUGAAUUUAGGUUUUGUAUCAACAUCACACAUUGUUAUUAAUUGUUUCAUCAUUAAUAAGAC